CACCUGCUCUGUUCCACAAUAUAUUUUCAGGCUCCCCUACUAGUUAACACAACAGUCAGUGAUCUCAGCUCAGUAAUUUUAGCUCUCUUAGUGAUUUCAGCUUGUAGUAGGGGAGCCCCA